rnacentral:lncRNA from 1 species
UACUUUCUUUUAUGUUUCCUCCCACAAAUCUUCUCCCGCCGUCGCUGGAAAUGAAGAAAUGCUGGAAGUCUCCAUGCUCCUGGGUAGUAGUAAUUCAAGGUAAUUUAUUAAACUAUUUCCAAUCCUCAAUUUAAUUAACAACCAAUUGUUUAAUUCAGAUGAAUAUUUUUAUGGAUUUUCAAUUUCAAGGAAGAUCUCUCUGUAUGCUGCACUUUGGGAAGUGUCAAUCAGUUUUGACUGCUUCUGGGUUGCUGUGUUCUAUGCAAGAUGCUUCUAUUUCUUCUACGGGUUUUAUGAAUUUUUUGUUUAUGUUUGGAAACUUGGAGUGGAUUGCCUUAAUUGUUUUCGAUCACACACCUAUCUUUCUUGGAGGUAAACGCAUAUAUGUACAUGCAGAUUUUUUUCUUGCUUCUUGCUAAUUAAGCUAAUUUCUAGUCGGUGGGUCUAGGGCGGAGAUCGAGGCAUAUUUUCGAUGAAGUGUGGCGGAAGUCUGCGGCAUAUUUCGAGGCUUAAUCGACUACGUUUUUGUAUGAAUUAUUUUUUUAUCUUCUUGUUAGGGAUUGGUUGAAUAGUGUGGUGUGGCGGCGAUGUGGUGACGAUGGAGAGACAAAUCUAGGGUUUUUUGGUGGAUCGGGCGGAUGACGGUUCGGGUAGAUAAAUUCGCGCAUGCUGGAACCUUAAUCGACUACGUACAUGUUCCAUAGUCGAUUAAGCUAAUCGACUAUGCUCUGAUAGUCGAUUAAGGUUAA